UCCUUCCCGAAAAAUCUCUUGUAACCUGGAGAGCCCUAGCUCCUUCUGUGAGGUCAGAAGUGUUGUUGUGACACCACCUGCUUCUCAGAUAUUCCUUCAGUACAUCUAGGGUUUGUAACUGGCCUUUAAUUCAGAGUAAACAGCCAUUUUUUAGGGAGAGCAAAGAGGAUGAAAGGAUCCAAGAAGAGGAGAAGGAAGCUGCCCUUCUGUCAUGGUAUAAAAAAGGAAGAAAUACAUGGUCCACUGGAGAGCUCAGUGAAUCCUGGGAACCUAUUGAGGUUGAUGUUUAACUGGACCUCAAGCCAUUCCUCUCACUGCCCAUCCUCCUAAGUAUGAUGUAUGGCCUGAAGAAAUAAUCAUGGUGGGAACACAGCUUUUCUGAUGUCUCGAAAUUUUUGGAUAAACUAAGGAUUUGGAAGUUCAUCAUUGGAAGUAGGUACAUAAUAUUUACAUUUUUAUAUUCAACCUUAGGUGGGACCCUUGGGUUGCCAAAAUCAUUGCAAAAAAACAUGAAAUUGGAAAACAGAAUUUUUCACUUCACAUUCAGGAAUAUAUAAAGUCACCUAUCAAGGAAUGUACAAUGAGAAACUGUAAUGAAAUAUGAAUUCAAUUAAAGGAUUGUAGGGAAAAUGCUGGCCUUUGGGAAACAGAGAUAACCUAGGAUAUUGAACUGUAUGUCACAGUAAUGGACCUGGUAAUAAAAUUAUUAUCCAGAGGAAUCUCUUCCACUCCAUGUUCCGAGAUCUUUUCUACCCAUGCAAAGCUCCUGAUUAUCUUUUCCUUUCAGAGCAUGUAACCACUAAGGAAAUAAAGAGAAGUUUCUAGCUUUAAAG